GACGAACGCUGGCGGCGUGUUUUACACAUGCAAGUCGAACGGUGAAGGUGGAGCUUGCUCCGCCAGAUCAGUGGCGAACGGGUGAGUAACACGUGGGCAACCUGCCCCUAACUUUGGGAUAACUACUCGAAAGAGUAGCUAAUACCGGAUAUGAAGUCUGUAGGCAUCUAUGGAUUUGGAAAGUUUUUCGGUUAGGGAUGGGCCCGCGGCCUAUCAGCUUGUUGGUGAGGUAGUGGCUCACCAAGGCGACGACGGGUAGCCGGCCUGAGAGGGCGACCGGCCACACUGGGACUGAGACACGGCCCAGACUCCUACGGGAGGCAGCAGUGGGGAAUAUUGCGCAAUGGGCGAAAGCCUGACGCAGCAACGCCGCGUGCGGGAUGAAGGCCUUCGGGUUGUAAACCGCUUUCAGCAGGGAAGAAGCGAAAGUGACGGUACCAGCAGAAAAAGCACCGGCUAACUACGUGCCAGCCGCCGCCGUAA
rnacentral:rRNA from 1 species